rnacentral:rRNA from 1 species
AGAGUUUGAUCCUGGCUCAGGAUGAACGCUGGCGGCGUGCCUAACACAUGCAAGUCGAACGAAGCACUUUUUUUAGAUCCCUUCUGGGUGACGAGAUCGUGACUGAGUGGCGGACGGGUGAGUAACGCCCUGGGUAACCUGUCCCUAUACAGGGCGGACAACAGCUGGAAACGGCUGCUAAUACCGCAUAAACGCACGAAACCGCAUGGUUUUGUGUGAAAAACUGAGGUGGUAUAGGAUGGACCCGCGUCUGAUUAGCUGGUUGGUAAGGUAAUGGCUUACCAAGGCGACGAUCAGUAGCCGACCUGAGAGGGUGACCGACCACAUUGGGACUGAGACACGGCCCAAACUCCUACGGGAGGCAGCAGUGGGGAAUAUUGCACAAUGGGGGAAACCCUGAUGCAGCGACGCCGCGUGAGCGAAGAAGUAUUUCGGUAUGUAAAGCUCUAUCAGCAGGGAAGAAGAAAUGACGGUACUUGAGUAAGAAGCUCCGGCUAAAUACGUGCCAGCAGCCGCGGUAAUACGUAUGGAGCAAGCGUUAUCCGGAUUUACUGGGUGUAAAGGGAGCGUAGGCGGUUGUAUAAGUAUGAUGUGAAAGCCCGGGGCUCAUACCGCGGGACUGCAUUGGAAACAUGUAUAACUGGAGUGUCGGAGGGGUAAGUGGAAUUCUUAGUGUAGCGGUGAAAUGAGUAGAUAUUAGGAGGAACACCAGUGGCGAAGGCGGCUUAUUGGACGAUCACUGACGCUGAGGCUCGAAAGCGUGGGGAGCAAACAGGAUUAGAUACCCCUGGUAGUCCACGCUGUAAACGAUGAAUA